UAACGUAAAAUAAUCUCUUACUACCAAUUAAAUCUAUUGUUUUUCAAAAAUAUUUUUGAUACAUUUGUUAAAAGAGCAAAAAAAAUUAAUUUCUCAGUGAUGGGGUAACUGGAUGUGGUCUCUAUCUUGCGUUGAGUUUCAUGCUGGAGCGAAUGGCCGUCGACAGAGAAUGCGAUGUUUGCUUGGCGGUGCGAGCAAUUAGACGAUCGAGACCAGAUUUUGUUCAAUCUUUGGAACAUCUGGAAUAUCUAUGUGAUGCUGCAGUAACAUAUUUCAAGUGUUUUGAAACUUAUGCUAACUUCUCUUAAAAUAUCAAUCUUAUACGCGAAUGUGAUAUAAUAUAAUAUUAUAAUUAUAAAUAUUACAGUUAAUAUAUACUCAUGCUUACUAAUAUACAACUAAAUAUUUUAUUGUUUUUGUAAUCAGAUGUAUGUGAAAUAUUAUAGUGAAGAAUCAGGUCCGCAUUUAUACUUUUGGAGGCCCCAGGCGCAACAUCAUUAUGAGGCCUCAAUAGAACAAGUCUAUUUCAAUUAAUCAAAUUCAUAUGCAUUUUUUUUAAGUGUUUAUUGAAAAUAAAAGUCGAUAUGCAUUA